rnacentral:lncRNA from 1 species
AAUGCAUGACUUUGAAUUAAAAUGGCAUAUACAAAUACUGAUUACUUAGCUACUUAUUGUAUUUUUUUUUCAUCAUAGUAGCUUUCUUGAGGUGACUAUGUUUACUACACCAAAUCAUUAUUGAAAGAAUCAUUUAUCCUUAUUUCAUAUCUUUUUUUAAAAAAUCAAAUAUAUGUGUUAAACACUAAAACAAGAGAAUAUGUGGAUUUUUUACGAUUAAUUUUAUUGACUUAUAUUCUAAUGUGUUGAUAUUUGAGUUGUUUUAAAUUUGAAAAUCUAAAAUAAAAUAUAUUGAUAUCAAAAUAUGUUGUUUAAAAAAAUUACAAUGAAAAAAAGAAAUAAAAAAAAUGACGUUUUUAUGGUCAAAGAUGGGUUAAAGUUAUGAAAAACAAGACAAAUAGUGAAAAUAACGUAGAGCUACUUUUGUUAUAAACAUGAAACCUAUUAGAUGGAUACAUGGCAAAAGAGCUAAGUUUGCUUUUUUACAUAGAAAAACAAGACAAAUAGUGAAAAUAACGUAGAGCUACUUUUGUUAUAAACAUGAAACCUAUUAGAUGGAUACAUGGCAAAAGAGCUAAGUUUGCUUUUUUACAUUAUAGGAUGGGUUGAAGCACUCCAAAUGCAUGACUUUGAAUUAAAAUGGCAUAUACAAAUACUGAUUACUUAGCUACUUAUUGUAUUUUUUUUCAUCAUAGUAGCCUUCUUGAGGUGACUAUGUUUACUAC